rnacentral:lncRNA from 1 species
GGGUGGCCGUACCCACUGGGAACCAUGGAGUUGGUUCUCACCCCACGUGGUUUUGGGGUGUUUACAGGUUCACACGUGAGCGGCGCGGCGGCGCGAGGCGAGGGCGUAGCUCCAUAGUUAGCGCCUUACCACCGAGACCAGAGAUAGCGGUACCCUGAGUCGGCCUUACUUAGGGAUGCAACAAAAUGGAAAGGAUCAAGUUGUAAUAAUAUUGUUAAAGCUAAAUUGUAUUUGGAAGCUAAAAAGAAUGUAUUAUGUAAUAUUGUUAAAGCUAAAAUGUGAAUGAAUGUAAUAAUAUAGGAUGUGUUAUGUUGUUUGAUACCUUCCAUUAUGCAAUCCUUGAUUGAAAUGUGUUCCUGGUUGGAACUUUGUACAUUGUAUUGAUUGCUAUGCCUUGAACGUACAGGGGAGACUCUGUCCGCAGUACAGGGGAAACCCUGUCCGUUCGGCGAUCUGUUGCGGCGCCGCGACCCGGCCAAAUAGGCGGGCGGUCGCGGGGCGUGACAGGUAC